rnacentral:ncRNA from 1 species
AUAAUUGGCUUGUGGCGGCCAUAGCGGCGUAGCUUUUUGAUUCUUUGAUGUCGGUCCUUGCUAUAAUUGUGGAGCAAAAUACACCAAGCGUUGGAUUAUUCACCGAUACAAGUAAACGUGAGUUGCGUUUAGACUGUCAUGAGACAGAUU